UGAGCAAUCUGCCCUUCUCUUUGGAAUAAGCGUUGGAAACGACGUCUAAUGCCGAAUACGACCUCCUUUCGCAUGAUCGGAGGUGGAAAGCUCCGGCGGAGAAGGAUGAGCUCGCGGCCUAUCAGCUAGUUGGUGAGGUAAUAGCUCACCAAGGCGAUGACGGAUAGCCGGCCUGAGAGGGUGACCGGCCACACUGGGACUGAGACACGGCCCAGACCU
rnacentral:rRNA from 1 species